GAAAGAACUCCUAUCAUUUCUUAUUCUUCUACAUCAAAGCUCCUCCCUCGCACCUCUCGUUCCAAAAAUUAUUAGGUGGAACCCAUGGAAAUAGACAUGCUUGAGACUAUGAGAAUUAUGCAGAAUCAACAAUGGAAAGCUUUUGAUGUCUCUAAAAUGCUGAAGAGCAGGCCCGAGAACCAAGUUCCCAUGUGUGAGGCUCCCAGCACUUCUACUGAGCAAGGGAAUACGUCUGGUAAAGCAAUGCUCAAGGACAAAGUGGUUCCGACAGAAAAACCUCCUGAUGAAAGUACGAAGAAUUUGAGAGGCACCCAGAAGGAAAAAGAGCGGAUGUCUCCAGAAAGAAGUGGUAAUGCUAGAAAGUUCGCAGAGACUCCUGCGCAAAACUUUGUGGAAUAAUUUGAGAACUCUGGAAUUCGAUAUCAGUUUAUCUUGGUGCCUAUUGGGAGACUUUAAUUCUCUGAUGCAUGAUUAUGAAAGCAAAGGUGGCGCCAUGGGGCAGUACUGCAGUAUCAUAGAGCGUGUUCUGAUUUUAAGGAUUGCAUUUCUGAAUGUAGGUUACUGGAUCUGGGUUAUGUUGGAUAGCCUUUUACCUAGAAAAGGAGAGACCUUGUGGAGAGACUAGAUAGAGGCCUCUGUAAUUUGAAUUGGAAAAUUGUCUUUUCUAAAGCUAGAAUCUAACACCUCUCUAUGCUAAAAUUUGAUCACACUCCCCUCCUUCUGACCUUUGCUCCUACUCUUGCACCUAAUAGAGGUACAUACCUUUUAGAUUUGUGGCAGCCUAGUUAAAUCAUUCUAACUUUGAAGAUUUUCUUAGCAAUAAUUAAGAGUACAAGGACUUUUGGAAAACUGUAUUUAUAACUUCCAAAAAGCUCUAAGGGUUUGGAAUCACGACGUGUUCAAGAAUAUUCAUUUUAGGAAGAACCGCAUCUUAAGGAGACUUCAUGAGAUCACUAAUAGUCUCAAUACCAGUAGUAAUAAAUUUUUAGAGAAACUACAAAUAAAUUUGUGAAAAGAGUAUCAGAAAAUUCUGGAGCAAGAAGAGUUGCUUUGGUUCCAAAAAUCUAGAUACAAAUGGAUUGAAUUUGGAGAAAAAAAUACCAAAACACUUUCACGGUAAAACUACAACUAGAAGAAGAAGAAAUAAAAUUGAAACUCUUCAAGAUGAGCAUGGUAACUGCUGGAUUUUGGAAAAGAUGGCUCUUGAGGUAAUGGCCACUAAUUGUUAUACAAAUUUAUAUAAAAAUGAUAUGCCAAAUGUUCCCUUUAUCCUCAAAGAUGUGUUUUCUUCACUUAGUCAUUCUGAGCUUGUUGUCUUCAAUACCUCCAUUGAAAAAAUCAGAGAAUUGUUGUUUAGCAUGGGGCCCUUAAAUCCCCGAGUAAAGAUGGUAUCCAAGCAGAUUUCUAUCAAAGUAAGUAGGAAAGAGAGGGGGCUGACCUCUGCAAUUUGAUUAAAGGUAUUUUUGUGACUCCCUAAAAAGUGGAAGAGAUUAGUAAAACUCUUAUUACUCUUAUCUCGAAAGUAGAAUCAGUUACCUCCCUGAAGAAAAUGCGGUCGAUUAGUCUGUGUAAAGUUUCUUACAAGAUUAUUAAGAAAAUCUUGUCUAGAAGACUAAGGAGGGUGAUGGAAAAGUUAGUAGUUCCCAAUCAAUGCAGCUUUGUUUUGGGUCGUCAUGGUUCAGAUAAUAUUAUCAUAUCCCAAGAGGACAUUCACUCAAUGAGAAAUAAGAAAGGAAAAAAAGGGAUGGAUGGCGAUCAAGAUUAAUCUUGAAAAGCGUAUGAUUGAUUGAAAUGGAGUUUUAUCAAAGACACUUUGGAGGAUAUUAGCCUUCCCCAACACUUUAUCCAUCUAGUCUAUACUAGUAUCACUACUGCAAGGAUGAGGGUCUUGUGGAAUGAAAAAGUUUUGGAUGAAUUUUUUUCCUCUAGAGGCAUUUGUCAAGGAGACCCUAUCUCCCCCUAUAUCUUUGUGCUAUGCAUGGAGCGGCUAUCUCAACUUAUUAAUGUGACUAUUGAACACAAUCUUUAAAAACUGAUUCACUUAACCAGUGGUGGUCCUAACUUCUCUCACUUAUGCUUUGCCGAUGACCUUAUCCUUUUCUCCGAGGUUAGUAUGGAACAAGCUGAGAUGAUAAGCAAUGUGUUAAAAGAUUUUUGUGUUAGUUCUAAGCAGCGAGUCAAUAAUGAAAAGACCAAAAUCUAUUUUUAUAAUAAUGUGUAUCAUCAUAAUGUUUUCGUACUGAGAUUAGUAAAGACUUUCAAUUCGCUGGAACAGAAAAUUUGGGGAAUAUCUUGGGGUUCCUCUUUUAAGGUUAACAAGGAUACUUAUUAGGGGAUCAUUGACACCAUGAACUCAAGUCUCAAUAAUUGGAAAGCCUCCUCGUUGUCCUUAGCAGAAAGAACUACCCUAGUGAGAUCUAUCAUUUCUACUAUUCUUAGUUAUACUAUGCAAACUGCUACUUUACCGAUAUCUACUUGUAAUAUUAUUGAUCGAAAAUGUAGGAACUUUAUACAAAGUACUUCAGAGUAGUCAAAGAAAAUGCAUCUCCUAAAUUGGGAAAAAGUGUCAAGACCAAAGGUUGCUGGUGGCUUGGGAAUUCAACAUGCUAGUUCUCUUAAUCGAGCUUUUAUGAUGAAGAUCAGUUGGAGCUAGUAGAAAUGAAAGAUAACUUGUGGGUUAGAGCUCUGAGAGCCAAGUACAGAUGUGAAAAUGACAUUAUCCCAGAUGUCAGAAGGAAAAUGAACGAGUCCAAUCUUUGAAAAGGAGUUUGUGCAGCUUGGAAUGAUGUGGAAAGGAACUCCACGUGGCAUAUCGGCAAUGGCGAAAAGAUCAACUUUCGAAAAAUAACUGGGUUCCUAAAGUUGGAAAGCUGAAAAAGCAUGUCAUCCAACCUCUAGACUCUAGUGAUUUGAAUGUAUCUCUAAAUGAUUUCUUAUCUA